AUUGAACGCUGGCGGCAUGCCUAACACAUGCAAGUCGAACGGUAACUAGAAGCAGCUUGCUUCUUCGCUAACGAGUGGCGGGCGGGUGAGUAAUGUCUGAGAAACUGCCUGAUGGAGGGGGAUAACUACUGGAAACGGUAGCUAAUACCGCAUAACUUCGCAAGACCAAAGAGGGGGACCUGAUGGCCUCUUGCCAUCGGAUGUGCCCCGAUUUGAUUAGCUAGUAGGUGGGGUAACGGCUCACCUAGGCGACGAUCCCUAGCUGGUCUGAGAGGAUGACCAGCCACACGGGAGAUGAGAUGCGGUCCAGCCUCCGAAGGGAGGCAGCAGUCAGGAAUAUUGCGCAAUGGGCGGAAGCCUGAUGUAGCCAUGCCGGGUGUAUGAAGAGGGCCUUCGGGUUGUAAAGUACUUUCAGCGGGGAGGAAGGGAGUAAAGUUCAUACCUAUGCUCAUUGACGUUACCCGAAGAAGAAGCACCGGCUAACUCCGUG
rnacentral:rRNA from 1 species